rnacentral:rRNA from 1 species
AUGGCUCAGAUUGAACGCUGGCGGCAUGCUUUACACAUGCAAGUCGAACGGCAGCACGGGGGCAACCCUGGUGGCGAGUGGCGAACGGGUGAGUAAUGCAUCGGAACGUGCCCAGUCGUGGGGGAUAACGUAGCGAAAGUUACGCUAAUACCGCAUACGACCUGAGGGUGAAAGUGGGGGACCGCAAGGCCUCACGCGAUUGGAGCGGCCGAUGUCAGAUUAGCUAGUUGGUGGGGUAAAGGCCUACCAAGGCGACGAUCUGUAGCGGGUCUGAGAGGAUGAUCCGCCACACUGGGACUGAGACACGGCCCAGACUCCUACGGGAGGCAGCAGUGGGGAAUUUUGGACAAUGGGCGAAAGCCUGAUCCAGCCAUUCCGCGUGAGUGAAGAAGGCCUUCGGGUUGUAAAGCUCUUUCGGCAGGAAAGAAAUCGUUGCUCCUAAUACGAGUAAUGGAUGACGGUACCUGAAGAAGAAGCACCGGCUAACUACGUGCCAGCAGCCGCGGUAAUACGUAGGGUGCGAGCGUUAAUCGGAAUUACUGGGCGUAAAGCGUGCGCAGGCGGUUUUGUAAGUCAG